rnacentral:rRNA from 1 species
GAUGAACGCUAGCGGCAGGCCUAAUACAUGCAAGUCGAGGGGCAGCGCAGUGUAGCAAUACAUGGGCGGCGACCGGCAAACGGGUGCGGAACACGUACGCAACCUUCCUUCAAGCGGGGCAUAGCCCAGAGAAAUUUGGAUUAAUACCUCAUAGGAAUGUAGUCUCGCAUGAGACAGCAUUUAAAGAUUUAUCACUUGAAGAUGGGCGUGCGUCUGAUUAGGUAGUGGGUGAGGUAACGGCUAACCAAGCCGACGAUCAGUAACGGGCGUGAGAGCGCGACCAGUCACACGGGCACUGAGACACGGGCCCGACUCCGACGGGAGGCAGCAGUAAGGAAUAUUGGUCAAUGGACGGAAGUCUGAACCAGCCAUGCCGCGUGGAGGAUGAAGGCCCUCUGGGUUGUAAACUUCUUUUAUCUGGGACGAAACACUUCCUUUCUAGGGGGCUUGACGGUACCAGAGGAAUAAGCACCGGCUAACUCCGUGCCAGCAGCCGCCGUAAUAC